AGUGCAUGGAAAGCGUGUGGAAGGCAUGAGGGGUGCAUGGAGAGCAUAUGGAGUGCAUAUGGAGUGCAUGGAGAGCAUGGAGAGCAUGGAGAGCGUGGGGAAGGCAGGUGGGGUGCAUGGAGAGCAUAUGGAGUGCAUAUGGAGUGCAGGGAGUGCAUGGAGAGCGUGUGGAAGGCAUUUGGGGUGCAUGGAGAGCAUAUGGAGUGCAUGGAGUGCAUGUGGAAUGCAAUUGGGUGCAUGCAGAGCAUGGAGAGCAUGUGGAAUGCAUGUGGGGUGCAUGGAGAGCAUGGAGAGCAUGUGGAAGGCAUGAGGGUGCAUGGAGUGCAUGGAAAGUGUGUGGAAGGCAUGAGGGGUGCAUGGAGAGCAUGGAGAGCAUGGAGAGCAUGGAGUGCAUGGAGAGCAUGGAGUGCAUGGAGAGCAUGGAGUGCAUGUGGAAUGCAUUUGGGGUGCAUGUAGAGCAUGGAGAGUGUGUGGAAUGCAUGAGGGGUGCAUGGAGAGCGUGUGGAAUGCAGGUGGGGUGCAUGGAGAGCAUGUGGAAAGCAUGUGGGGUGCAUGGAGUGCAUGGAGAGCAUUUGGAAUGCAUGUGGGGUGCAUGGAGAGCAUGGAGAGCGUGUGGAAUGCAUGUGGGGUGCAUGGAGAGCAUAUGGAGUGCAUGGAGGAGCAUGGAGAGCAUGGAGAGCAUGGAGAGCAGGGAGAGCAGGGAGUGCAGGGAGAGCAGGGAGAGCAUGUGGAAUGCAUGUGGGGUGCAUGGAGAGCGUGUGGAAGGCAUGUGGGGUGCAUGGAGAGCAUGGAGAGCGUGUGGAAUGCAUGUGGGGUGCAUGGAGUGCAGGUAGGGUGCAUGGAGAGCAUGGAGUGUGUGUGCAAUGCAUGUGGGGUGCAUGGAGAGCAUGUGGAAGGCAUGUGGGGUGCACGGAGAGCAUGGAGUGCAUGGAGAGCAUGGAGAGCAGGGAGAGCAUGUGGAGUGCAUGUGGGGUGCAUGGAGAGCAUGGAGAGCAUGUGGAAGGCAUGUGGGGUGCAUGGAGAGCAUGGAGAGCAUGUGGGGUGCAUGGAGAGCAUGGAGAGCAUGUGGGGUGCAUGGAGAGCAUGGAGAGCAUGGAGAGCAGGGAGAGCAUGGAGAGUAUGUGGAAGGCAGGUGGGGUGCAUGGAGAGCAUGGAGAGCAUGGAGAGCAUGGAGAGCGUGUGGAAUGCAUGUGGGGUGCAUAGAGAGUGUGUGGAAUGCAUGUGGGGUGCAUGGAGAGCAUAUGGAGUGCAUGGAGAGCAUGGAGAGCAUUUGGAAUGCAUGUGGGGUGCAUGGAGUGCAUGGAGAGCGUGUGGAAAGCAUGUGGGUGCAUGGAGAGCAUAUGGAGUGCAGAUGGAGUGCAUGGAGAGCAGGGAGUGCAUGGAGUGCAUGUGGAAUGCCACGUGGAGGGUGCAUGGAGAGCAUGGAGUGCAUGGAGAGCAUGGAGUGCAUGUGGAAUGCACGUGGGGUGCAUGGAAGAGCAGGGAGAGCAUGGAGGGUAUGAAGAGCAUGGAAAGCAUGUGGAAUGCAUGUGGUGUGCAUGGAGAGCAUGGAGAGCAUGGAGAGCAUGGAGAGCAUGGAGAGCAUGGAGAGCAUGUGGAAUGCAUGUGGGGUGCAUGGAGAGCAUGGAGAGCAUGGAGAGCAUGGAGAGUAUGUGGAAUGCAUGUGGGGUGAAUGGAGAGUAUGUGGAAUGCAUGUGGGGUGCAUGGAGAGCAUAUGGAGUGCAUAUGGAGUGCAUGGAGAGCAUGUGGAGUGCAUGGAGUGCAUGGAGUGCAUGGAGAGCGUGUGGAAUGCAAUUUGGGUGCAUGGAGAGCAGGGAGAGCAUGUGGAAUGCAGGUGGGGUGCAUGGAGAGCAUGGACAGCAUGGACAGCAUGGAGAGCAUGGAGAGCAUGGAGAGCAGGGAGAGCAUGGAGAGCAUGGAGUGCAUGGAGUGCAUGGAGAGCAGGGAGUGCAUGGAGAGCAUGGAGUGCAUGGAGUGCAUGGAGAGCAUGGAGAGCAGGGAGAGCAUGGAGUGCAUGGAGAGCAUGGAGUGCAUGGAGAGCAUGGAGAGCAUGGAGUGCAUGGAGAGCAUGGAGAGCAGGGAGAGCAUGGAGUGCAUGGAGUGCAUGGAGAGCAUGGAGUGCAGGGAGUGCAUGGAGAGCAUGGAGAGCAUGGAGAGCAUGGAGAGCAUGGAGAGCAGGGAGAGCAUGGAGAGCAUGGAGAGCAUGGAGAGCAUGGAGAGCAUGGAGAGUAUGUGGAAUGCAUGUGGGGUGCAUGGAGAGCAUAUGGAGUGCAUAUGGAGUGCAUGGAGAGCAUGUGGAGUGCAUGGAGUGCAGGGAGAGCAUGGAGAGCAUGGAGAGCAUGGAGUGCAUGGAGAGCAGGUGAGAGCAUGGAGAGCAUGGAGAGCAUGGAGAGCAUGGAGAGCAGGGAGAGCAUGGAGUGCAUGGAGUGCAUGGAGAGCAUGGAGAGCAUGGAGAGCAGGGAGAGCAUGUGGAAUGCAUGUGGGGUGCAUGGAGUGCAGGUAGGGUGCAUGGAGAGCAUGGAGUGCGUGUGCAAUGCAUGUGGGGUGCAUGGAGAGCAUGUGGAAGGCAUGUGGGGUGCAUGGAGUGCAUGGAGUGCAUGGAGAGCAUGGAGAGCAGGGAGAGCAGGGAGAGCAUGUGGAAUGCAGGUGGGGUGCAUGGAGAGCAUGGAGAGCGUGUGGAAGGCAUGUGGGGUGCAUGGAGAGCAUAUGGAGUGCAUAUGGAGUGCAUGGAGAGCAUUUGGAAUGCAUGUGGGGUGCAUGGAGAGCAGGGAGAGCGUGGGAAGGCAGGUGGGGUGCAUGGAGAGCAUAUGGAGUGCAUGGAGUGCAGGGAGUGCAUGGAGAGCGUGUGGAAGGCAUUUGGGGUGCAUGGGAGAGCAUAUGGAGUGCAUGGAGUGCAGGGAGUGCAUGGAGAGCGUGUGGAAGGCAUUUGGGGUGCAUGGAGAGCAUAUGGAGUGCAUGGAGUGCAUGUGGAAUGCAAUUGGGGUGCAUGCAGAGCAUGGAGAGCGUGUGGAAUGCAUGUGGGGGGUGCAUGGAGAGCAUGGAGUGCAUGGAGAGCAUGGAGUGCAAUGUGGAAAUGCAUUUGGGGUGCAUGUAGAGCAUGGAGAGUGUGUGGAAUGCAUGAGGGGUGCAUGGAGAGCAUGUGGAAAGAAGGUGGGGUGCAUGGAGAGCAUGGAGAGCAUGUAGAAUGCAAUUGGGGUGCAUGCAGAGCAUGGAGAGCGUGUGGAAUACAUGUGGGGUGCAUGGAGAGCAUGUGGAAUGCAUAUGGAGUGCAUGGAGAGCGUGUGGAAUGCAUGUGGGUGCAUGGAGUGCAUGGAGAGCAUGCGGAAGGCAUGUGGGGUGCAUGGAGAGCAUAUGGGGUGCAUGUGGGGUGCAUGGAGAGCAUGGAGCGCGUGUGGAAUGCACGUGGGGUGCAUGGAGAGCAUAUGGAAUGCAGAUGGAGUGCAUGGAGAGCAUGGAGUGCAUGGUGAGCAGGGAGAGCAGGGAGAGCAGGGAGAGCAUGGAGAGCAUGGAGAGCAGGGAGAGCAGGGAGAGCAUGUGGAAUGCAAUUGGGGUGCAUGGUGAGCAUGGAGAGCAUGUGGAAUGCAGGUGGGGUGCAUGGAGAGCAUGGAGAGCAUGUGGAAUGCAGGUGGGAUGCAUGGAGAGCAUGGAGUGCAUGGAGUGCAUGGAGAGCAUGUGGAAGGCAUGAGGGGGUGCAUGGAGAGCAUGGAGAGCGUGUGGAAAGCAUGUGGGGUGCAUGGAGAGCAUAUGGAGUGCAUAUGGAGUGCAUGGAGUGCAUUUGGAAUGCAUGUGGGGUGCAUGGAGAGCAUAUGGAGUGC